rnacentral:lncRNA from 1 species
AGGGAUUGAACCUUAAGCAAUCAAAACAACCUUAUUGUACUCAACCUCCUCCUUUGAGCUCUCAAUCCCCUUCCUCUUUGCCUAGCACAACACCACUACAUCCUCCUCCUUGUCUCUUCCCUUAUUGAUAGUCUCAUCAACAGAUAUAAUCCUUAUAAUUGUUGGCAAAGAUUAAAAAAAAAAAAAAACUUAUCUCAAUCACCAUGAUUAGAUCAAUCUGUUUGAUAACAAUUUAGAUAUCAUAACAAUCUGAAUUAUUUGAUCACCAUGAUUAUUCGAAAAUGUUGUAAUAUCAAACAAGAUUAAUUAUAUCACAAAUAUUUAUCUAAGAACUAAUUGUUGACUGAUAAUCCAAAGUUGAACCUUUAUCUUCAUUCUUUUUACUACUCAUGAGUUUCUUUUCUUCAUAAGAAUGUGCUAAUGACUGAGAUGUUCUUAUAUGUUAAGCUUACCUUGUAGGAUCUUGCAUUUGUUGGCUAAAACGUCUUCAUCCAACGUGGCUAUGUCCAAGGAUCACGCGGCUACUAUUGCAUCUUUUGUCUUAUUCAGACUUUCUCAAUUUACGGUGCUUACCUUAAAGUGGCAAGUGUAGCAUUGUAGCUGUUGAGUUUGAGCUCGUUGGGUCACUUAUUUCUUGAGCGUUACAGGUUUUUUAACCAAGGAUAACAAUUAUUAUUACAUCACAAAUUUGGGGAGCGAGAUGGGUUGCCGAAGUUUUAAUCCUUGGUCUUUGGUGCCAACUAACAAUAACUCCAACUAUGGCCAUGUCGGUAUUUACAUAUAAAUUAUAAAAAAAUGAUUAAAUUAAUAAAGCAUAGUAUAUAUAACUGUGAAAUUUAUACGUGGGUUCUAAGUGCCAAUGGAUUUUCAUCAUACGUUGGUUCUUCAACGGUGUAGUAGGAUUUGCACUUAAACUCUUUUCAAUGUAGGGGAAAAAACUUUAAAGAUGUGUUAAUUCUUCAGCACCCAAAGAAUACAAUAUUUUUGCAUUAUUAGCAAA